rnacentral:rRNA from 1 species
UACGGAGGGUGCAAGCGUUGCUCGGAAUUAUUGGGCGUAAAGCGUAUGUAGGCGGUUUUCUAAGUCUGAUGUGAAAUCCCAAGGCUUAACCUUGGAACUGCAUUGGAUACUGGAAAGCUAGAGGACAGUAGAGGAUGGUGGAAUUCCAGGUGUAGGGGUGAAAUCCGUAGAUAUCUGGAGGAACAUCAGUGGCGAAGGCGGCCAUCUGGACUGUGUCUGACGCUGAGAUACGAAAGCGUGGGGAGCAAACAGG